rnacentral:rRNA from 1 species
GAUGAACGCUAGCGGCAGGCCUAACACAUGCAAGUCGAGGGAGGAGCUUUCGGGCUUCGACCGGCGUACGGGUGCGUAACGCGUAUACAAUCUGCCUUUCACAUAGGGAUAGCCCGAAGAAAUUUGGAUUAAUACCUAAUGGUAUAUAGAGGUGGCAUCACCUUUAUAUUAAAGCUGAGGCGGUGAAGGAUGAGUAUGCGUUCUAUUAGCUAGUUGGAGAGGUAACGGCUCCCCAAGGCGACGAUAGAUAGGGGUUCUGAGAGGGAUAUCCCCCACACUGGUACUGAGAUACGGACCAGACUCCUACGGGAGGCAGCAGUGAGGAAUAUUGGACAAUGGUCGGAAGACUGAUCCAGCCAUGCCGCGUGCAGGAAGACGGCCUUAUGGGUUGUAAACUGCUUUUGCAGGGGAAGAAUAAGGACUACGCGUAGUUUGAUGACGGUACUCUGCGAAUAAGCAUCGGCUAACUCCGUG